UACAUAGUAUGGUAAAAUGGUAAUGUUUUGGGAGUUUAAUAAAUUUAACAAGCUCAUCAAAGAAAAUCAUAGUCCUAUGGGAUCAAUUUUCUGAUAUGGAGUUCCAUUGUACCAUAGAAGAAAGGGAGGAAAAUUUGAAACAACUAAUUGCAUCUGUCAAGACUCUUAUCAGAAAAAUAUUCAAAGUUUUAUCAACAGAAGAGCAUUUGCCUGGCUGCCGGUAUUUUCAUUUACUGCAAAGGGAGGGGUUAUUGUCAUUUUGUUGGUUUUUCUUUAAAACAAUUAAAUAAAAGAAAAAUAUAUCAGAUACAUAAUUUUGUAAAUGUAUACAUAUGUAUUUACAGUGAAGUUCUUACAAUUUUGAUUUUUUUUCUUUGUUCACUGAAUUUUUAUUUUACAAUUCUAGAAUUUAUUGUAAUUGUGUGUUGCAAUCCUUUAAUAUUCAAUUUUAUUAUUUGUCCCAUUUGAAAUUAGCCUUGCUGGGGUAUAAGUCCCAUUAGGACAGUUCUAGUUGUACAUGUAUCAGUAAAUAUUUAACAACGAUAUUGUUUAAUGAAUUAAUAUUGCUGAUUGAUUUCAACUUUGACACAUAUUUUAUUUUACUGGUACAAAAAUUCGCAAAAUUAACAUGUAAAAAUUUAAAGCAUUAAGUUUGCAUGCCUUUAAAUUCGUAAAAAUUUAAGCAGAUAACGUAUUACCUUGUUAUAUGGUGUAGACAAUGAAAAAUGCAGAUGCUACCAGUGUUUUAGACUUUAUUAUCUCCCUUGGCACUACAACUAAAGCUUUCAAGAUAAAGCUCUUUAUCACAAUAUGUGUGGGGAAAUCAAGAAACCUUGACACUAAGGUCAUGUAGGUUUACAAGAACAGUUCAAAUACCCACUGUUACACAAAAUAUUUACACGAAAAAAAUCUAUUACACAAAUAAUACAAGUAAUUUUGAUUUUCUUUUGUAAAAAUAUAAUUUCAUCAUAAUAAACACAUAAUAAACAAGAUAACUCUAUAUACAAAGGACUCAAAAGUAUCGAUGAAAUAGUGGUAUUUGGACACAAUUUACACUCAGCUGUAAACUGUACAGUUCUAUUGAAUUUGUUGAAUUUAUUUUCUAUAUUGUACAAUGUAAAUUGUCUGCUUUCAUAAACCUAGAAGAAUACUACUACUUUAAGUAAGUGAUAUACUAUUGAUGUUCCGCUUUCACACACAAUGGACCUGUAGAAUGGUGAUUACAGUUUGUUUUAUCUAUAUAAUUAUUCACAACUUGAAAUGAUGCAAUACUUAAAUCUUGUAUGGUUAACAAAUUCAGUAAGUAUCAGGUUUGAUAACUAUCAAAAGAGUAGCAAAAUCAAUCUUAUUUUGGCCAGAAAUUGGCUAGAAGCGGGUUAUUGUUGUAACAUCAGGCAUUAAUUUAAGUGGAAUUCAUUUUACUAUAGACACCACUACAUAAACUUUAUAAUUACGUACAAUGACAAUAAUGAAUAAAACUGAUUUACAUAAAGAAUACAAUAUAAAUUUGAUUAUGAAUGGCAAGUAGGUUAGUAAAGUACUGUGUGUCAUGUAAGUGUAUUGACUAGAAGGGAUAAUCUCAUCACGUACUGUAAUCAUAUUACAUUCAGCUGUGUAUUCUUUUUAGCAUUUUUGACGGAAAGCUUUCUUCCGCUUUUUCAAGUACAUAGCUAAAUGCCAUGCAUAAUAUAUGUAAUAGGCACAUUAAGAAAUUUUAAUCCACACUAACUUUUUGAAAAAAUCAUUUUCUGCCAAAUACUGCACAUGCUAAAUAUAAUAUGUAUACAGUUUGUUAACACAGUCUCUCCAAUAACUCCAUUCCCAGGGGCCGGCUCUUCCAAUGUCAGCUCACUUUUAAUUGUUCAUUACUUCAAAGAGCACAGAGCCCUAAAAUUCUAAGAUCUGCUGUAAACUGAGAUCAGUGGAAAGUUUAGUACAAUUUACAUAUUGACACGAUCAAUGUUCAAAGAUAGUGAAGGUUCUAGUUCAAAGUUCAGAUGUUUAGGUUGAAGUUCAGAGCUCAGACAUCUGGUUCAAGUUUUGUUCAGACAUUGUUUAGGUUUAAGUUCUUUGUUCAGACAUUGUUUAGGUUCAACUUCUAUGUUCAUCUGUAAGGCUCAAGUUUAGUGUUCAAAUAUUGUCAGGUUCAAGUUCAAUGUUCAGACAUUGAUAAGGUUCAAGUUCAAUGUUCAGACAUUGAUAAGGUUCAAGGUUCAGCCAUUUGUUACUCUAGUUCAGUAUUGGAAUAUUGUUCACAGAUUGAGAUCACAUUGAAGGAUUGAUGUUCAUAAUAGCCAAACAGGUUCUGAUAAUGUUACCUGGGAGCUAUAUGGUAUCGUGUUAUAGGAUAUUUAAAUAAACACUUUGUUUACAAUUCCUUUUUACAAAAUACAUUGAAUAAUUAUCUACUUAUUUAAACUUAAAAAAUCUAUAGAUUUAGUAUUGAAAUAACAAGGUAAUUCUAUUAUAACUACUGGUA